GGGAUUAUAGUUAAGUAUAACAUUUGAUUUGCACUCAAAAAGUAUUGAAUUUCAAUUAAUCUUA
rnacentral:tRNA from 1 species